rnacentral:rRNA from 1 species
CCUACGGGAGGCAGCAGUAGGGAAUAUUGCUCAAUGGGGGAAACCCUGAAGCAGCAACGCCGCGUGGGGGAUGAAGGUUUUCGGAUUGGAAACUCCUUUUGUUAGAGAAGAUAAUGACGGUAUCUAACGAAUAAGCACCGUCUAACUCCGUGCCAGCAGCCGCGGUAAUGCGGAGGGUGCAAGCGUUACUCGGAAUGACUGGGCGUAAAGGGGGCGUAGGGGGGAUAGCAAGUCAGAUGUUAAAUCCUAUGGGUUAACCCUAGAACAGCAUUUGAAACUGUUAUUCUAGAGUGUGCGAGAAGUAUGUGGAAUGCUUGGUGUAGGGGUAAAAUGCGUAGAGAUCACGAAGAAUACUCAUUGCGAAGGCGACAUGCUAGCACAUAACUGACGCUGAUGCGCGAAAGCGUGGGGAGCGAACAGGAUUAGAUACCCGUGUAGUC